AGACGUAGGGGGCUAGCGUUGUUCGGAAUUACUGGGCGUAAAGGGCGUGUAGGCGGCCUUGCAAGUCAGUGGUGAAACACCUGGGCUUAACCGAGGUAUUGCCGUUGAAACUGCAGGGCUUGAGGGUAGAAGAGGAGUGUGGAAUUCCCGGUGUAGCGGUGAAAUGCGUAGAGAUCGGGUGGAACACCAGUGGCGAAGGCGGCACUCUGGUCUACCCCUGACGCUGAGGCGCGAAAGCUAGGGGAGCAAACAGGAUUAGAUACCCUGGUAGUCCUAGCCGUAAACGAUGGGCACUAGGUGUAGGAGGUUUAGAUACCUUCGGUGCCGUAGCUAACGCAUUAAGUGCCCCGCCUGGGGAGUACGGUCGCAAGGCUGAA
rnacentral:rRNA from 1 species